UACAGAGGUCUCAAGCGUUGUUCGGAUUCAUUGGGCGUAAAGGGUGCGUAGGUGGCGCUGUAAGUCGGGUGUGAAAUUUCGGAGCUUAACUCCGAAAACUGCAUUCGAUACUGCGGUGCUUUGAGGACUGGAGAGGAGACUGGAAAUUCAUGGUGUAGCAGUGAAAAUGCGUAGAGAUCAUGGGGGAAGACCAGUGGCGAAGGCGGGGUCUCUGGACAGUUUCCUGACACUGAGGCACGAAGGCCAGGGGGAGCAAAACAGG
rnacentral:rRNA from 1 species